AUUGAACGCUGGCGGCAUGCCUUACACAUGCAAGUCGAACGGCAGCACGGGAGCAAUCCUGGUGGCGAGUGGCGAACGGGUGAGUAAUAUAUCGGAACGUGCCCAGUAGUGGGGGAUAACUGCUCGAAAGAGCAGCUAAUACCGCAUACGACCUGAGGGUGAAAGGGGGGGAUCACAAGACCUCUCGCUAUUGGAGCGGCCGAUAUCAGAUUAGCUAGUUGGUGGGGUAAAGGCCUACCAAGGCAACGAUCUGUAGCUGGUCUGAGAGGACGACCAGCCACACUGGGACUGAGACACGGCCCAGACUCCUACGGGAGUCAGCAGUGGGGAAUUUUGGACAAUGGGCGCAAGCCUGAUCCAGCAAUGCCGCGUGCAGGAAGAAGGCCUUCGGGUUGUAAACUGCUUUUGUACGGAACGAAACGGUCCUGGUUAAUACCUGGGGCUAAUGACGGUACCGUAAGAAUAAGCACCGGCUAACUACGUGCCAGCAGCCGCCGUAAUAC
rnacentral:rRNA from 1 species